UUUAGGUGCAAAGCAUGUGGAUCUGAGUGAAGUAUGUUGAAUGCAUGGUCAAUUGAAUAUUAAUGCACUUACAGUUUAAACAAAUUUAAAAUAUGCCAUACUAUUAGUCAAUUUGCAUAUGCUAAACUAAAUAUCACUCAAAUAUGCAAUAAUUAAGGGCUACAAUGAUAUAUAUUUUAAAUACACAUAACUAUAUUAUCAUAAUAUUCAUAAUUAGGCUCUAGACAUGUAAUUUAUUCAGUUAACCAUAAGCCUGUCAAUUACUGAAUUCCGAAUGUCAAAUAUUUGAUAUGAUUAAAUAUCAUUAUGUGUCUCAGAAGAUCUACAAUUUAGAAAUGUUAACUAAUGGUCCUAUAUAUAAAAAAGAAAAUGGCGAUGAAUUAUUAAAACAUGAAGAUGUGCUUCCACUGAGCUUGGAAUUCAAAACUGUGUGGCUAAGAAUUAACGGGCUGUAUAUGUUCAGGGACUAACUUGUCAUACAAUAAGGUGUCAUUGCUAAGCCUUAAUGGUCCUUGGUAUUUUUUGGGCCUAAUUGUGCCUUUAGCAACUAUUAUCAUGCCUACACUUCUAUCGCUAUGCUAUAAUGUCUUGCAACAUAUUAGCCUUUUAAUUAAGAAUUGUCUGUUUAUUUAUUUAUUUUUUCCUUCUUACCAUCUAAUUCAAAUCUAGUGUUUGUAGUUUGUAAGUAUAGGGUACUCCAAGGAACAAAUUCUUCAUGCUGUUUCUGAAGUUUCAGAAACAUCCCAGAGCAUGGAUGUAUCUUCACUCUGGCCGCUAUUCUAUGUCGCCUUCUAGAAGAUCAAGUUUAUGGUUCAACUUCUUUGGAGUCUCAGAAGACGCUAAGAGAGGGCUGUCUUUCAAUAUCAACCAUCUGCAGUUGGUCAAACAGAUUCUGUUGUAAGUGGGAAUGCUCAGAUGGAAUCUGCUCAUUGUGGUGCAUCUAGGUCUUCAUUUUUUGUGGAUUCUGCAAAGAGCUCUUUUACCUUGAGGGCAUGCUCAUCAGCUAUUUUCAAUUGAUUCCCCAAAGAACUGCUAAACAUCCAAUUUUCUUCAAACUUGCACUCUUACCAGAGGGAAAA